rnacentral:rRNA from 1 species
CGGACGGGUGAGUAACACGUGGGCAACCUGCCUGUAAGACUGGGAUAACUUCGGGAAACCGGAGCUAAUACCGGAUAAUCCCUUUCCUCACAUGAGGAAAGGCUGAAAGAUGGUUUCGGCUAUCACUUACAGAUGGGCCCGCGGCGCAUUAGCUAGUUGGUGAGGUAACGGCUCACCAAGGCCACGAUGCGUAGCCGACCUGAGAGGGUGAUCGGCCACACUGGGACUGAGACACGGCCCAGACUCCUACGGGAGGCAGCAGUAGGGAAUCUUCCGCAAUGGACGAAAGUCUGACGGAGCAACGCCGCGUGAGUGAUGAAGGUUUUCGGAUCGUAAAACUCUGUUGUUAGGGAAGAACAAGUAUCGGAGUAACUGCCGGUACCUUGACGGUACCUAACCAGAAAGCCACGGCUAACUACGUGCCAGCAGCCGCGGUAAUACGUAGGUGGCAAGCGUUGUCCGGAAUUAUUGGGCGUAAAGCGCGCGCAGGUGGUUCCUUAAGUCUGAUGUGAAAGCCCACGGCUCAACCGUGGAGGGUCAUUGGAAACUGGGGAACUUGAGUGCAGAAGAGGAAAGUGGAAUUCCAAGUGUAGCGGUGAAAUGCGUAGAGAUUUGGAGGAACACCAGUGGCGAAGGCGACUUUCUGGUCUGUAACUGACACUGAGGCGCGAAAGCGUGGGGAGCGAACAGGAUUAGAUACCCUGGUAGUCCACGCCGUAAACGAUGAGUGCUAAGUGUUAGAGGGUUUCCGCCCUUUAGUGCUGCAGCAAACGCAUUAAGCACUCCGCCUGGGGAGUACGACCGCAAGGUUGAAACUCAAAGGAAUUGACGGGGGCCCGCACAAGCGGUGGAGCAUGUGGUUUAAUUCGAAGCAACGCGAAGACCUUACCAGGUCUUGACAUCCUCUGACAUCCUAGAGAUAGGACUUUCCCCUUCGGGGACAGUGACAGGUGGUGCAUGGUUGUCGUCACUCGUGUCGUGGAUGUUGGGUAAGUCCCGCAACGAGCGCAACCCUUGACUAGUUGCCAGCAUUCAGUUGGGCAUCUGAGCCGAACCGGGGGAUGAGUCAUCUGCCCGACUGGUACCCUGCUCGCUGGCACCGUUCCAAUUCCUCUGGUGACUGACCGAAUC